rnacentral:rRNA from 1 species
GCUUAACGCGAAGAACCUUACCAAGGCUUGACAUAUACGAGAACGGGCCAGAAAUGGUCAACUCUUUGGACACUCGUAAACAGGUGGUGCAUGGUUGUCGUCAGCUCAUGUCGUGAGAUGUUGGGUUAAGUCCCGCAACGAGCGCAACCCUCGUUCUAUGUUGCCAGCACGUAAUGGUGGGAACUCAUGGGAUACUGCCGGGGUCAACUCGGAGGAAGGUGGGGAUGACGUCAAAUCAUCAUGCCCCUUAUGUCUUGGGCUUCACGCAUGCUACAAUGGCCGGUACAAAGGGCUGCAAUACCGUAAGGUGGAGCGAAUCCCAAAAAGCCGGUCCCAGUUCGGAUUGAGGUCUGCAACUCGACCUCAUGAAGUCGGAGUCGCUAGUAAUCGCAGAUCAGCAACGCUGCGGUGAAUACGUUCCCGGGUCUUGUACACACCG